GUUCAGACCUGGUAUAUUCAUAUAUAUGAUAGGAAUUCAACAUAUGUUUACUCAUUUGAAAUAAAGAGAGGAACAAAUAGCGUGUGAUUAGGUGUUAGAGAAAGAUUUAUUCCAAUUGAAGGAAUUAAGGAAGAUUUUAUUGAAGAAAUGGUAUUUGACCUACAACUUAAAAAAAAUGCAUGUGAUUUGGAUAAAAAGAACAGGUUAGUGGGAGCGGUGAAGGAAAAGACUUCAAGGAAGAAGUAUCAGCAGGAACAAGGCACAGAAGAAAAUAAUCGACUAAUCUAGGGAAGAGCAUGUGCUUCAUGAGGCUGCAGUUUGGGUCACUUAAACACAGUAGAACUGGUGCCAGAUUAAGAGGUUUAGAUUUUAUUUUGAGGCAAGAGGGAGAUUGACAUGUGCAGAGGUAUACUUAAAAAAAGAUAAACCUGCCAACAAUUAUCAAAUGCACUGAAGUGAAUACAAGCUAUAUGAAGAAGCAAUUGUAGUUUGAAGACUAGUGUAACAUUCCAGAAAGAAAUAGCAAGGGACCGGUGAAGAGCUAUACCUGGGUCAUAAUGGAGAGGAGGCAAUAGGUUUGGAAGAUAUUCAUAGAAUAAGAUGGUGCCUGAAAUUUAUGUGAUGCAGAAAGCCAGAGAAAGGAAAAAUAAAAGCCCACAAAUAAGCUUUUUUAACUUGAGUGAUUAUUAGUGAUAUCACUAAAAAAAAGUCAAGUUUCCUGAAGGCAGUGGUCAUGUUGGCUGGUUAAUGAGGAAAACUCUUGAGUUUGAUUUUGGUCAUUUUGAGUUUGAAGACUUUGUUGAGUAUCUAGGUAUGAGCAAAGCUUGGGUGAUGAGGGUUGGAGAUACCUUGUCAGUGUGGAAGAGAUGGCUGAAGUCACAGAUGUAUUCCUGGAAGAGCAUUGGCAGGAGCAGACUCUGGGAGAUAGAUCCAUAGUGCCUUCAUUCCAUAUGCUGAAUGAAGCCUUGCUGGGCCCUAAUGAUGGAUAAUAAUGGGGUUCAGAUAGUAGAGGAUAUUUUGGAACCCCUAAGCUAGAGUAACAUCAGUGGGCUUUGCUUUGGUGUGUGUGUGUGUGUAUGUGUGGGCAGAAUUGGGGGUGCAUUUACUGUAAUGAUUUAGUGAUUUCCAUUUCUACCAAAUGCAAUUUUUGUAAUGGACAGCAGGGGGCAGCAGAGCCCCACUUUUCAAAGGCUCAGACUGAAAUUUCAGCAGAAAGACCACCCUCUGCCUUUCUGUGUAUAUAUUUUUGGUUCUUGUUGUUGUUAAGGAAGUUAUAUUCCCCUUUUAAAGUUAAAGAAAAUAAUUUCUUUCCUAAGUUGCUGUCUUUGGGCACAGUGUAUGGAUUGAAUCUUAGGGGGCCUGUGUCUCUAAUCUGAUUAUGGUGAUCUCUUUUAUAAAAAGGAGUUAAGAAUUUGUUUACUGGUGAUGGUCUGAUGCUGUUUCACUGGAGAAGGUAGGAGUGUGAACUGCAAUUGGGAAUUUUUAGCCUGAACGCUAAUUCAAUCCUGAAGACUCAGGUUUGUAUUUAAAGAACAAAAAUUAUGGAGAUGAGGCUGUACCCUACAACACACAAGGCAGCACACAGGAUUGAUCCCCAACACUGAAAAAACAAACAAACCCCAAAAUAAACCCUAUCAUUGCUGUUAGACUUUAAAGAUUUGUUUGUUAUUAUACAAUCCAUGUUGACUAUAGUCUAUUGUCCUUGUUGUUGCUAUUGGCUGAGUUUCCUGAAAUCAGGUUGACCUGGGAUAGGGUAUGAAAUUAAGCCACAAUAAACUAGACUUCUAACCUAACUUACUACUGCAGGACUUCCAGUUCUUUGCAAUCUGUCAUUUUACCUGUCUUUCCUACUGUCUAGAUUGCCCACGGAGCCAGUGGCAUGAGGUCUCUUGUUUCUAGUGCUUUGCUCUCUGUGUCAGGUGAUGUGAUGUCAUUGCUGACCCCUGAGUGGUGGGUCUUAAUGUUGUCCUUCAGUGUUCCAGAGCCAUGCUGGGCCCCAUGCAGGGAUGAAGGGCUGCCUUUUCCCUUUUCUGGUUUGCUUUGUUAAUGAAGAACAGCCUAUCUAUCAUAUAUGUUAUCAUAUCUGUAGCCUCCUUUGCAAUAGGGUUUGAUAAUUUUUAUUUUUUGUGUGUUGGUGAAUUGGUAUCAAAGCAUUUUUAGCACAAUGUCUUAUGGAAUUUUAAUUUUUGUGUGUAGUGUUGGGGAUCAAAACCAGAGCCUCAUGUACACUGGGCAAGUAAAUGGUCUGCAACGAGUUAUAUCUCUACUCCUAUCUCUACAUCCUUAACAGUGCUCUUUCUUCUGGUCACCCCACAAUAUCACAGCUUCUUUGAUUAUGCAUUCCCCUUAAACUUGGCGGCAUCUGUUCAUACUAUUUUUUUCCAUUCAAAUGUUCUUCAUCUUUUCGUUUCAUGAAUUUCUCUUUCCUGCCCUACUUUUCUUUUUUCCCCCAUAUCAUUUGCAAUUUUCUAAUAAGUUAUAUAAUUUAUUAUGUAUGCUCAGUAGUCUUCCUUCUUCCUCCUAGAACCCCACAAGAUCAGGGAUUUUUGUUUUGUUCACUGGAUAUAUCCAGCACCUAGAAUACUGCUGAGACCCCAACAGGUACUUAAUAAAUGUUUUUAACAAUGUUUAAGUGAACAAGUGGAUCCUUGAAAGCUCAACUCAAAUGUCAUCACCUCAAUGAAGACUUCCAUUCUGGCUUCUACUCCCAAUUCUGGAUAAAAUUUGUUUAUUUUUCUUGUAUUUUACCAUAUCAAUUUGUUUAUAUUUGCAUUAUAGUGCUUAUUCCACUGUUUGAGAGCUGUUUCCUAGUUCAUACAAGUGAUAAAUAAUACAACAUAAUAUUAACUUGGUAGUUGUUAGAGUCUGUAAACAAGUCAAGAUGGCGCCUGGCAUUUUGCAGAGGGAGUGGUUUGUGAAGUAACGCCAGUGAGCCAUUAAGUGGGGAGAUUCCUUAUUGGUUGAUUGCUGUAUCUAGUUUAUGUUAAUUAAGAUAAGCUGUGUGUAAUGUAUAUAUACCCCUCCGGUCCUACAAUAAACGGCUCCCACUCCUGCUGUAUCAAUG
rnacentral:lncRNA from 1 species